CGCAAAGCGCAAGUAGCUUUGUGGGCGGUUCUACGGCGCUAUCGCUAUUUUACAGGCGGAUAAAUGACACUUGCGUCGCGGCGCAAGUGUCAAAAGGGUUGGUCUGAAGCAGCCUAAUUACCCGUAGGUGUGGUUUGGGCGUAACGUCCAACAAACCAAUGAGAUUGCCAGCUCCCAUCCCCUUUAAGAGCCAUGAGCGCAUUUGAAUCGGACGAGUUGAUAUUUUGACAGCGCGUCUGCAGUCUCCGAUGAGACAGAUGCACAUGAAUUUCAAACUGCAAAUGGCUCAGUUUAUUGCCAAAUAAUAUGGCCUAAUUCACACAAGGGAAAUACUGAGUCCUCAAAUAAAUGUCGGCAAAGAAAACGUAUAUGAUAUAACAUGUGAUAUGCGGUAACUGUGGUUCUAUUUAAUGAUAUACGCAAUACAUUAUAAACAUUGUUUCUUAUCAGUAUUGUAUGCUAUCCUAAUAUGCAUGUUUGUGGAAGAAAACCCCUUAUUCCAUGUGUGAAUUGGGCCAUAUUAUUUGGCAAUAAACUGAGCCAUUUGCAGUUUGAAAUUCAUGUGCAUCUGUCUCAUCGGAGACUGCAGACGCGCUGUCAAAAUAUCAACUCGUCCGAUUCAAAUGCGCUCAUGGCUCUUAAAGGGGAUGGGAGCUGGCACUCUCAUUGGUUUGUUGGACGUUACGCCCAAACCACACCUACGGGUAAUUAGGCUGCUUCAGACCAACCCUUUUGACACUUGCGCCGCGACGCAAGUGUCAUUUAUCCGCCUGUAAAAUAGCGAUAGCGCCGUAGAACCGCCCACAAAGCUACUUGCGCUUUGCGCUUCCCACUUGCGUUUCAGACCGUUAAAAUAGGGC